UACAGAGGAGCCAAGCGUUGUCCGGAUUGACUGGGCGUAAAGCGCACGCAGGCGGAUGCGCGCGUGGGGUGUGAAAUCUGGCCGCUUAACGGCCAGGCGCCAUCCCAUACGGCGCGUCUGGAGUGAUGCAGAGGUCGAUGGAAUUGCCGGUGUAGUGGUGAAAUGCGUAGAGAUCGGCAGGAACACCCAGGGGGAAACCAGUCGAGUGGGCAUCUACUGACGCUGAGGUGCGAGAGCGUGGGGAGCGAACCGG
rnacentral:rRNA from 1 species